UGAGGAAUUUUGCGCAAUGGGGGAAGCCCUGACGCAGCAACGCCGCGUGGGCGAUGAAGGCCUUCGGGUCGUAAAGCCCUGUCGGGCGGGAAGAACGUCCCUUCGGGGAGUGACGGUACCGCCAGAGGAAGCACCGGCUAACUCCGUGCCAGCAGCCGCGGUAAUACGGAGGGUGCAAGCGUUAUUCGGCAUUACUGGGCGUAAAGGGCGUACAGGCGGGAGAGCAAGUCGGAUGUGAAAGCCCGGGGCUUAACCCCGGAAGGGCAUUGGAAACUGCUUUUCUUGAGUGCUGUAGAGGAAGGGAGAAUUCCCGGUGUAGAGGUGAAAUUCGUAGAGAUCGGGAGGAACAUCAGUGGCGAAGGCGCCCUUCCGGACAGCAACUGACGCUGAGACGCGAAAGCGUGGGGAGCAAACA
rnacentral:rRNA from 1 species